rnacentral:misc_RNA from 1 species
AACGCACAUUGCGCCUCUUGGUAUUCCGAGGGGCAUGUCUGUUUGAGCGUCAGUACCCACUCUCUCCCCAGAGGUUUUGAGGACUCCUCGGAGUCUUCUAACGUGGACGCUUGCGAACCUAUACCGAUCACGACGUAGUAAAUCUUUCUCGUCGACGAAAGGCUUUGGGAUUUGCCUUGACAUCAAAACUAAGUUUUGACCUCAGAUCAGACAAGGAUACCCGCUGAACUUAA